CGUCCAGACUCCUACGGGAGGCAGCAGUGGGGAAUAUUGCACAAUGGGGGAAACCCUGAUGCAGCGACGCCGCGUGAGUGAAGAAGUAUUUCGGUAUGUAAAGCUCUAUCAGCAGGGAAGAAAAUGACGGUACCUGACUAAGAAGCCACGGCUAACUACGUGCCAGCAGCCGCGGUAAUACGUAGGUGGCAAGCGUUGUCCGGAUUUACUGGGUGUAAAGGGCGUGUAGCCGGGCCGGCAAGUCAGAUGUGAAAUCCCAAGGCUCAACCUUGGAACUGCAUUUGAAACUGUUGGUCUUGAGUAUCGGAGAGGCAGGCGGAAUUCCUAGUGUAGCGGUGAAAUGCGUAGAUAUUAGGAGGAACACCAGUGGCGAAGGCGACUUUCUGGACUGUACCUGACGCUGAGGCGCGAAAGCGUGGGUAGCGAACGGGAUUAGAUACCCGCGUA
rnacentral:rRNA from 1 species